AUGUCUCUAAUCCAUGAAUCUCAUCACGUUACUCCCCCAUUUACAUCACUUCUCCUUGCCUCCGGGAUUAAGUCCAGACUCCUUAACAGCCCCUGCUCUGCCCUGCCUUGCAAGGCAGCCUCACUGCUUGCCCCUCUCCAUUUCACCUACUAUGGAGUCCAGCUGAGCCUCAUCUUUCUCCUCUGGGAGUCUCUGAAGUGGGUGAUGCCCUCUGCUUAUAAUACGCUUCCCCUUAAACCUCUACUCUCUUCCUGGCUAGCUUCGGCUCCUCUGUCACUUGUCCGCUUUGGCAUCACCUCCUCACGGAAGACUUCCUUGACUCCCCAGAUUCUCAGGAGCAUGGCAGGGAAUGGAUUCCAGAGUCAUUCUGUGACCUUUACGUUCUGUGACCUCCUUAUUAGCAUCUAAAAGCUUCCAGUGUAGGAUGCAGCCAGCUAGGUUCUCUUCUAAUGUAAUAAAAUCUGCUUCAGCAAAGCUUAUACAGAGCCAUCUCCAGACUCCAGAAAUAAUAGGCUAUAAAUUACAGGAUCUCCCAUUUGAUAUAAUGAAGUAUAAGCACGCUCCUGAAUGACUCCUCUACAUACUACUCUGAGUGACUUGAAGUGAAUCUGAUACAAGUACUGGAGCGAGCGCAAAGCAGAGCUACAUCUAGGAUUAAUGUGCUUGGGCCCAGCUCCUCACUACUCACCUAUGAGUACAGUUCCAGAACCUAAGUAGAGGGUGGGGGAACAAGGCUCCUGGCUUUUUUCCCUAAUGCCUGACAUCUCUUUCAGAUUUCUUAUUUCUUUGCAAAGAAACUAAACAGGCACGACUAAAAAAACUAAACGAUUAAACCCUACACAGAGAAUCUCCAAAAAUUCACAAAAUAUCAUUCAAGACUGUUAGAAAGACAGCCUUGAGGAUAACUUGAUGUACCAGUGAUCUACAAUAUUUGGGAUCAUUCCAAAUUCCCGUCAAGGAUCUGCCUAUAUCAACACAGGGACAAAGGACCAACCAUUCAAAUAGGCCCUGCUGCCAAAAUGCCAUCUCUUCAUAUUGUUCCAUUUAACAAAACUGCAGCCUGUCAUCUAUCCUUAAGUCCCUUGGCCAAUGGUACAGAGCCAGAGUAUGCUGCUCCCUAGCAGGAAAUCAACAGGAUGACCUACUAAACACCAUUCAGAAGAUGCUAAGGCCCAUGAAUUGCAACAGGAAAGAAAAGACACAUAAUUAGUCAGACAGGUACAUGCUGGGCCAAAAAUGCACUACAACCCCCACCCAAUUCUGCCUAAUCCUAGCUGGGCUGACACCAACCUGAUGAGACAGGCCUGUAAGAUCUCAAACUAAAACAGAAACUCCUGAACUGGGUUCUUGAGAACCCAGGAAGCAGCAGUAAACCAUUAAAGAACAAUUAAGGUCUGGAGGUGAGGGGGGAGUUUCAGAUAAAUGAAAUGCUGGUAGAACACAGGGCCCAAAGGAGCAAAAGUUAACCUAAGCCCAGGUAGAACCUUGUUUACCAGAGUACUAGGCACGGGGUGUGGCAACUAUUCUAACC
rnacentral:lncRNA from 1 species